rnacentral:misc_RNA from 1 species
UUUAGAAGGGUUGUAUCAGUCAAUUAGAAGGGUUGUAUCAGUCGAUAUUCAUCAAGAACGGAGAGAUCUUCUAUAGUAAUAUCUUUUUUUCUUUUCUAUUUUUGUUAGAAAGGAUCUUGUUCCACCAUUCAUAGCCACAUUUUCCACCUAUCUUAAUACGCUGUCUUCUUUACCUUAAAAAAAGAACAAUAACUAAAUAAAUGAAUGUUACCAUGGAUAUAGUCAUUGAUUUAACCUCUACU